rnacentral:sRNA from 1 species
UAUCACAGAACGAGUACAAUGCUGGCUUAGUAUUACUUUUUAUUCCCUAGAUAGGAGUAUAUAAGCGUUAAGAAGUAAUCAGCCUGCUGUUUCUUUCUAAUUAUUCUCUAGUCAUUUUGCUCUGAAAUCAUAGCUUAUUUACAUUUAGGGGCUUGUUAAAUAAAACCUUACUUUUAUUUCAGAUAAAUCAAGGGAGAGAUCUCAGUGUGGUGUGAAAGCUGUUAAUAAAGCUUCUAGUACCACACCUAAAGGGAAUUCAAGCAAUGGAAAUAGUGGCUCUAACAGCAACAAAGCUGUUAAAGAAAAUGACAAAGAAAAAGGGAAAGAGAAAGAAAAAGAGAAAAAAGAAAAGACUCCAGCUACUACUCCAGAGGCCAGGGUACUUGGUAAAGAUGGUA